UACGUAGGGUGCAAGCGUUGUCCGGAAUUAUUGGGCGUAAAGAGCUCGUAGGCGGUCUGUCGCGUCUGCUGUGAAAACUCGGGGCUUAACCCCGGGCCUGCAGUGGGUACGGGCAGACUAGAGUGCGGUAGGGGAGACUGGAAUUCCUGGUGUAGCGGUGAAAUGCGCAGAUAUCAGGAGGAACACCGGUGGCGAAGGCGGGUCUCUGGGACAGUUCCUGACACUGAGACACGAAGGCCAGGGGAGCAAACGGG
rnacentral:rRNA from 1 species